rnacentral:rRNA from 1 species
AGAACUUAGCAGAGAUGCUUUGGUGCCUUCGGGAACUCUGAGACAGGUGCUGCAUGGCUGUCGUCAGCUCGUGUUGUGAAAUGUUGGGUUAAGUCCCGCAACGAGCGCAACCCUUAUCCUUUGUUGCCAGCGGUCCGGCCGGGAACUCAAAGGAGACUGCCAGUGAUAAACUGGAGGAAGGUGGGAUGACGUCAAGUCAUCAUGGCCCUUACGAGUAGGGCUACACACGUGCUACAAUGGCGCAUACAAAGAGAAGCGACCUCGCGAGAGCAAGCGGACCUCAUAAAGUGCGUCGUAGUCCGGAUUGGAGUCUGCAACUCGACUCCAUGAAGUCGGAAUCGCUAGUAAUCGUGGAUCAGAAUGCCACGGUGAAUACGUUCCCGGGCCUUGUACACACCGCCCGUCACACCAUGGGAGUGGGUUGCAAAAGAAGUAGGUAGCUUAACCUUCGGGAGGGCGCUUACCACUUUGUGAUUCAUGACUGGGGUGAAGUCGUAACAAGGUAGGCGUAGUGCU